UACGUAGGCAGCGAGCGUUGUUCGGAGUUACUGGGCGUAAAGGGUGUGUAGGCGGUUGUUUAUGUUUGGUGUGAAAUCUCCCGGCUCAACUGGGAGGGUGCGCCGAAUACUGAGCGACUAGAGUGCGGGAGAGGAAAGUGGAAUUCCUGGUGUAGCGGUGAAAUGCGUAGAUAUCAGGAGGAACACCGGUGGUGUAGACGGCUUUCUGGACCGUAACUGACGCUGAGACACGAAAGCGUGGGUAGCAAACAGG
rnacentral:rRNA from 1 species